rnacentral:lncRNA from 1 species
GCAGCUGCAGCUCUGAUUGGACCCCUAGCCUGGAACUUCCAUACGCUGCAGUGAGGCCCUAAAAAGACAAAAAAGAAAGAAAGAAAGGUCUCACAACUUAACCUGUUGUGCAGCAGGUUAAGGAUCAGGCAUUGCUGCAGCUGUGGCACAGAUUGAAACUGGUGUAGGUUUGAUCCCUGACUGGAGAACUUCCAUGUGCCAUGGCUGUGACCGACCAAAAAAAGAAAAAGAAAAAGAAAUCAACAUGGAUGGGUUACAGAGGAGAAUACAAAAUGCGAUGAUUGUAAAAAAAAAGUUUAAGGAGUUCUCGUCGUGUUGCAGGGGAGGCGAUUCUGACUAGGAACCAUGAAGUUGCAGGUUCUAUCCCUGGCCUCGCUCAGUGGGUUAAGGAUCCGGCAUUGCCGCGAGCUGUGGUAUAGGUCGAAAAUGCAGCUCGGAUCUGGUGUUGGUGUGGCAUAGGCUGGUGGCAACAGCUCUGAUUGGACCCUUAGCCUGAGAACCACCAUAUGCUGCAGGUGCAGCCCUUAAAAGACAAAAAGACAAAAACAAACAAACAAAAAAGUUAAAAAAAAAUUUUUUUGGGGGGGGGCCAUGCCAAUGGCAUGUGGAAGUUCCCAGGCCAGGGAUGGAACCUGUGUCACAAUAGUGACUUGGACUGCUGCACUGACAACACUGGAUCCUUAACCUACUGCUCCACAGGAGAACUCCUAUUAUUAAAUUUUAUUUUAAUAUUAUUAUUGGAGUUCCCGUCGUGGCGCAGUGGUUAACGAAUCCGACUAGGAACCAUGAGGUUGCGGGUUCGGUCCCUGCCCUUGCUCAGUGGGUUAACGAUCCGGCGUUGCCGUGAGCUGUGGUGUAGGUUGCAGACGCGGCUCAGAUCCUGCGUUGCUGUGGCUCUGGCGUAGGCUGGUGGCUACAGCUCCGAUUCGACCCCUAGCCUGGGAACCUCCAUAUGCCGCAGGAGCGGCCCAAAGAAAUAGCAAAAAAAAGACAAAAAAAAAAUAUAUUAUUAUUUAGCCACGAUGUGCAGGAGCCUGAUGUGGGAUCUCAGUUCCCAGAGGAGGGAUUGAUCCCAGGCCGCAGUGGUGAAAGCACCAAGUCCUAAACACUAGGCCACGAGGGAGCUCCUGUAAUGUACCUGGAUUCUAAAAAUGCUUUGUGGUCAGAGUAUAACACCCUGCUGGACCGGCAGCUCCAUGCUCCAGUAGUGUGGGGGCUCUUGUGUUGUAAGAGCAGGACCCACACAGGACGUGGGGGUCACAGCCAUAGGCAGGUGGCAGAAAUGGGUGUGUGCUGCCAAAUCACCUGCUCCCCAGACCCCCUACCACAUCCGCUGCUGACGCUGUGUUCUGGAUCUCUCGUGACCACAUGCUCCAUGACACAGUGACCCCCCAUGGGUUCUCCUUUCUUCCCUUUAUCACAGCGGAGCCAUACACAGACACACCUAUUUCCUGAAGAAUAAUUUUAGGGUAUUUUUUCAGGAGUGCAAUUGCUGGGUCAAAGUUACCACAUUUACUGUUUUGCUGGCUCCCUACAAAGUGGUGAUGAUGUCAGACUCCAAGGGUGCCUCCGAUGUCAGAUGCUAGGAUCCUAAGUGGAUGCACCCACUCUUCCUGUUUGCUUUCAGAGGUUCAUCUUGGACUAAUUUGGGAUUUCCAGAAAAGGUGUCAUGUCUUCCCUUCCCCACAGUGCCCUCCCAGGACCGUCUUGUCAGAACCAAGAACAGUCUUGGGCUCCUACCCAUUUACAUGCUUCGGUCUUCACUCCUGUCUCAGCAGUUUUCCCACUGACAUCCUUUUCUGCCCCACUGUCCAUCCCAGGAACCCACCUGUUGUUUAGACAUCGUGUCUCCUUAGUCUGUUAAAAUCUGUGACACUGCUCCAGUGUUCCCUUGUUUUUCAUGACCUAGACAAUUUGGGACUGGUUGGGUGUUUGGUAAAAAGCCCCCUAAUCUGGGCCCAUCUGAGGUUUUCUUGAGGUCAAACCACUUCUGAUUUGAGGAAGAACAUGCCAAGGUGAGGUACCCUCCUCAGCGCCUCCCACCAGGGGUCCCUGAUACUGCCCUGAAGUUGACCUUGACCUAUUAGCUAGGGUGAGGGCCCCAGGAUUCCCUGAUCAGUCCACACUAAAGGGAAGGGAGUUGUUUAGAAAAUAAUUUUUCAUACAGAGGACUAUAAAAGGAAAGCACCCAUUGCCCAUAAUUGCACUGCUUGCAUACCUGCUGACAUUUUAAAGAAAACAGAAUAAAUACAGCACAUGGAUUUAAAGAAAAGAUUGAACUAGGAGUUCCCAUAGUGGCUAAGUGGUUAACGAAUCCGACUAGGAACCAUGAGGUUGUGGGUUCGAUCCCUGGCCUUGCUCAGUGGGUUAAGAACCCAGUGUUGCCAUGAGCUGUGGUGUAGGUUGCAGACGUGGCUCGGAUCUCACUUUGCUAUGGGUGUGGCGUAGGCCGGCGGCUACAGCUCCGAUUAGACCUCUAGCCUGGGAACCUCCAUGAGCCACGGGAGCGGCCCCAGAAAAGGCAAAA